rnacentral:lncRNA from 1 species
UGUUUUUCACAGGUCCGUAGAGAUUGCCAUAUCAUGCAGGGAGAUGAGCAGUCUUCACCAUGUAUCAUUUCUGAAAGCGUCAGCAUUGUGUCCUGUCUUGGGAGACACAGCAACAACACCUAUCAUGUAAAUCUCAGUGUACCUCUACUUAGAGGUGGGAAAAACAGAGGAUGGGGAACUGAAAUGACCUUUGGGACAUCACCCAGCAGCCAAGAGAGGGAAUCCAGAUCUUUGGAACAUUUCUAUGCUGGAAGGAUACUUCACAAAGCACUCAUUGAAAGGUCACCUCUGGGGGCAAAAAAAUGUCUGUCUUGGGUGUGUGAAAUGACAGGCUUGUCCAACAUAAGCCUGAGCAGCUGCAAAGAUCAGCCUGAAGGCCUGGAGGAGAUGGCCUGCCAUAUGGGAUUCCCAAAGCUCAUCCUGUACCUAUUCACUGCAGCAGCAACAAUGCACAAAAUGCUGAUGGGAAGAGGAAGUCCAAGGAACAAGAAGAAGCGAGGCACAAAGCAGCAGGAGUUACGAUUUUCAUGGGCUCCUGCAUCAGUAACAAGCUCCAAUCUUGUGUCCCACUCCCAGCCUCAGAGGUGCAAGGGGCACUAGCAACCACUUCAGUUUGGGAAGUGGUAGUGGAGCUGGGGUUGUGGUGCUUUUCCUCCAUUUCUAAAGUCUCCAGGAUCGUGGAAAAGGUGAGGAGCAUGCAGGGUGGCAUGGAAUCUCGUUUAGUUGUUAAAUUGUAAAGCUUCACCCCCACCAAGUCCCAAAAGCCCGCUGUAAAGAUGUUAGUGUCUGCGCCGUUUGGCAUGCCACUAGGGAAAUU